GCCAUAGUUUUAUGUUGUUACGAACUUCUGUAAUUUAACUUUUUGCUUACAAAAAAGUAAUAAUAAUACUAGAUUUAUAGCUCAUCUCAAGUUCGCUAAAGGGUAGAGCGGCUGAGGCCAGGGUCAAACGUCGCGGAACUUUUCAUGUGCCGAACCUAAUGUUAAUGGCUAAGUUCUUUGUUUCGCUUCAUUUGCAUUAGUUCGGCACAUGAAAAGUUCAACGAUUGACCGUGGCCUAUAUUGCUCUGACACUGCAGAAUACAACGAAAAAUUUAUUGUUUCGAGCUGGAUUCGCAUCUUUGGGUUUUUAGACUCACGAGUCUAAAAACCCAAAGAUGCGAAUCCAGCUCGAAACAAUAAAUUUUUCGUUGUAUUCUGCAGUGUCAGAGCAAUAUGAAACUAAUAAGUUCUUUGUAUGUUUGCAUGGCGAUAAAACAUAUAAUAGUUUUGUUUGUGGAAACACCACGUAAAUUUAUUACUGCAAUUUACGUGGUGUUUCCACAAACAAAACUAUUAUAAAUAUGAAACUACUUUUUCAUAUCUCUGAGGAUGAAAUAAUUAUCUACUGCCGGAUGCUUUCCGCCUACUCAUAAACGUAAACUAAAGUAUUUUAAUUGAAAAAAAAACAUAUUUGUAAAAAACGUCCCUUAUUGUCUGAAAAUUUAAACAAUUAAUCAACGGCUAUGAAUGCGAAAUAAAAUAGAUCUGAGAUAAGCACUGCAUAUGGUAAAAAUGAAGAUGAUUAUUUUAAAUCAUCCUUUACUAUAGUACAGCGGAGAAGAGGCCGUUCUCUUAACCCUGAACGGCCACGGUCAGACGAGAAUGAGAUUUGACAGUCCCGUAUUGUUACAGGGAAAAUGUGAAGCUCUAGAUUAACAAAAUGAAGGUUUGAAGACUGUUUCAACUAUGUUUUAACUUGGAAAUAAAAUACCUGUAAAAUAAAAUACACUAUAGUGUUGGGAAAGCAUUAUAAGAACAGCUAACCAAGAUCACGUGACUGCCAACCACAUCGACAGAGAGUGAACUAUAUUUCCAACGAUCAAU